rnacentral:lncRNA from 1 species
UCAAUCAUUUAAUUUUUAUAAUAAUAAAUUAAGAUUUUAUCAGGAACAUUAAAUUAAAACCAAAAAAAGAUUUUACAACAAUAUUCAAAUAAAUAUGUGAUGACAAGAUAUAUUACAGUAAUGUCAGAGAAAUUAAGCUAUUUUUUAACUCCUUCUUGAUGAUUUGCAUAAAGUUGGAAAGGAUGAUCAUAAUGUCAGUUUGAUAUCAUUUUUGACUAAAGUAGCAAUUUAAGUUCUUAAAAAUAGCAUCUGGCUAUUUGCAACAACAUAUUCCUUUAGAAUCUGAUGAUGGCAGACAGGCGAAAAUGUUCGUUCUCUUUGAUUAUUAUAAUAUAAAAGAGUUUCCCCAUACUGCAAAAAGUGCUUUACUGUCAUUAUUGAAUAAUUUGACGAUAGGGAGUAGCAGUAUGUAUGUUCUGAGUUUAUUGUAUUUGCAAGAAUUUAAAUCGGGCCAAAAUUUGCUAUGCAACAGGAAUAUUCCAAAGUCCAAUAUGGACUAUCCACAUCCAUGGCAAUGUAAGCUGAUAAGUAAUGAAUGAGACAUAAGCUAAGCAUAUCUAUUUUGAAACAACUGGUGGUAUAAGAUCUGAAUUGAAUCCUGUCCUUCAGAUAAAAAACCAAUGUUUAAUUUAAUCAUGUGUCCAUCUCACUGACUCACACUGCUUCUCAUAAUUGAUUAUAGUAUUUGUUGCAAUUUGCAAUUUUCCCUAAAAUUGUAAUCCCUCUGAUAUUUUUAUUCUAUUUCAUUUUUUUAAAAAUGCUCAUUGUGACAUAUAAUGCAGUUAUAUUCAAUCUUUUUCAACUCAACAUAUAAUAACCAAAGCAGUAAAAUUGUGAAGGCAUAGCAC